UGACGAACGGGUGAGUAAUAUAUCGGAACGUGCCCAGUCGUGGGGGAUAACGUAGAGAAAUUUACGCUAAUACCGCAUACGAUCUAAGGAUGAAAGCGGGGGACUCGCAAGAGCCUCGCGCGAUUGGAGCGGCUGAUAUCAGAUUAGGUUGUUGGUGGGGUAACUGCCUACCAAGGCUACGAUCGGUAGCUGGUCUGAGAGGAUGAUCAGCCACACUGGGACUGAGACACGGCCCAGACUCCUACGGGAGGCAGCAGUGGGGAAUAUUGGACAAUGGGCGAAAGCCUGAUCCAGCAAUGCCGCGUGAGUGAAGAAGGCCUUCGGGUUGUAAAGCUCUUUUGUCAGGGAAGAAACGGUGGGGGCUAAUAUCCUCUGCUAAUGACGGUACCUGAAGAAUAAGCACCGGCUAACUACGUGCCAGCAGCCGCGGUAAUACGUAGGGUGCAAGCGUUAAUCGGAAUUACUGGGCGUAAAGCGUGCGCAGGCGGUUGUGCAAGACAGAUGUGAAAUCCCCGGGCUCAACCUGGGAAUUGCAUUUGUGAC
rnacentral:rRNA from 1 species